AUUGAACGCUGGCGGCAGGCCUAACACAUGCAAGUCGAGCGGAUGAAGGGAGCUUGCUCCUGGAUUCAGCGGCGGACGGGUGAGUAAUGCCUAGGAAUCUGCCUGGUAGUGGGGGAUAACGUCCGGAAACGGGCGCUAAUAACACAUACGUCCUGAGGGAGAAAGUGGGGGAUGUUCGGACCUCACGCUAUCAGAUGAGCCUAGGUCGGAUUAGCUAGUUGGUGGGGUAAAGACCUACCAAGGCGACGAUCCGUAACUGGUCUGAGAGGAUGAUCAGUCACCCUGGAACUGAGACACGCUCCAGACUCCUACGGGAGGCAGCAGUGGGGUAUAUUGGACAAUGGGCGAAAGCCUUAUCCAGCCAUGCCGCGUGUGUGAAGAAGGUCUUCGGAGUGUAAAGCACUUUAAGUUGGGAGGAAGGGCAGUAAGUUAAUACCUUGCUGUUUUGACGUUACCAACAGAAUAAGCACCGGCUAACUUCGUG
rnacentral:rRNA from 1 species